CUUAAUGGCCUCAGCUUCUUCCUUGUCAAGGAUGCCUUUCUCCACAUAAGCAUCAGCUUGUUGGUUGAUGAAAUCUCUCAUCUUCGAAAGGUCAUAAUCUGGAAAAUAUUAUUACAGCAUCAUGAACAAAGAUCAGGAAAGGCCAAUCCCAUUACAGUGAUUACCAUUAACUGAGAAGCAUUUUAUAUGAUAACCCAAUUACCAUUCUCCAUUUUUCACAUUGGGAGACAUUUUAAUUCGUGGCAUUUGUGCAGUACUUUGUGGUAUAAAGUAAUGUUUACAUGUAUUAUCUCAUCUGCUCUUCAUCACAACCCUGUGAGAUGUUCAGCUGCAGCCACUGCAUAGCCCUAGGACCUAGAUCCCCCCACAGGCUUUGAGAGAUGACCCCAAGUCAAGCAGAGCACAUAUGAGAGCAGUGGAGAAAGAGUUUCUGUCUUGAAGAGAGCAUACUGCAUAUUUCCCGGAGACAAAAGGGAGCAUCGAACCCAAUGCUAUUAUUCUGAAGUUUCCUAACAGAGCCUUCCAUAUGCAAGCACCAGAGUUCCAUGCUUCACCAGGAGCUGUAAAGCAAAUCUUCUAUUUACACAGUAGGCACUGAAAACCUUAUGAGAGUCGACUUUGGAAAGCUGGACUAUUUUUUUCCUCAAUUUAUUUCAUCUUCCUUUGGAAAAAAAAAUAGCUCAUGGCUGAGGUAAUAGAGCACAAGCCUUAAAACAUACGCUGAAGCAGAUGGGAAAAGGGCCAGAAUCAAGAUGCAGCCUUGUUUUUCUGGCUGUUCUGGUUUUUAACACUGUGAGAAAAAUAUCUUUUCUAAACAUGAAUUUGUCCUUACUCUGCUAUGCUGUCCUGACUGUCUCCCUCUGGGGAAAGUGUAUAAAUCAAUCAGGUUGGCCUAUUGCAUACUGCAUGUACUAAAGACAUUAGGUUUUGUAAAAGAGUGUUUAUAAAAAUUAAAGUUUGAUAUAAUACUUAAAAUUAUGCCAAGAUUACAUGACUGCACUUUUGAACUGGAUGAAGCAAAGCAACUGAUACUGAUGCAUGGGUGCCGACACAGGCCACAGAGCUGUGAGAUUCAAGAUUCUGCAUAAUGAUGACAUUUUACAUGCCCAUUAGAUGCAGCAUGGAAGACUGGAAGAGCACUGGAAGAAGAGUCAGGAAACAUGGGUUCAAGGCCAGCUCCACCACUCUGGCCAUGAGGUCUUGAGCAAGUCGCUCAUAUUCUGGGCCUUGUUUUACUGGUUUGUAAAUCAAGGGGUGAAUGCUAAAAAGGAGACUCAUGAUUUGUACAUAUAGAAAGAAAUUCCCUUUUGUUGUCCUUGAAAAAUCCAUAUUGAUAUAUGGCUCUCCCAAGCCGACUUGGGACUUCCUCACCCACUUGCGGACUCCCAGGGGAGAAUAUUGGACUCCUGAUUUUUGGACAUUUCUAGCAGAAUCCCCGGAGACUUGAAGGGAGGUGUGAAUUCUCUUAUGUUGCUUAAAAAAUAAGUGUAUCCACAUGAAUUAGGCAAUUUAUUAUCAAUUUAUUAAAUAGGCUAACUUUUCUGGCUCCUGUAAAAAAGAUAUGACGAUGAUAGGACAUUUAAGUGAAAGUUACCUUAGAGAUCACCUUUUCCAACCUAAUUUUAUUGUCCAGCCAUAAACUUAAAUGAUAGCACUGGAGUGAGUUUAUGGGUGUUAUAAUGCUUAUCUCAUCCCUUGGAUGAUUUAAAAAAAAGACUUUCAGUGACCCACAGAACAGAUGUGAAUGAGUAAACAUCCAACUGGCAAAAAGAGCCACACUUAGAUUAUGAAAUAAAGUUUGAAAGCAGUUUUCUUUGGUCUUCAGAGAGCAAUUUACUUGAAAAGUUAAGCAACUUCAUAGAUUUGGUUGAAGUUAGAAUAAAUUAUAAUUUAUUAGAAUAUGCAUAAAAAUUUAGGAAUAAUUAUUGAAUCAGUCAAACAACUAGACCAACAUUGAAAAACACUAUUCUUAAUGUGGGUCCCUGU